rnacentral:lncRNA from 1 species
GGGUGCGUUUGGGAAGACUUUUGGGGAAAGUCUUUGGGAAAAUGCAAAGACCUUUGAGUUAAAUGUGUUUUUCAAAAUGCAAAUUGUGUUUGGUAAAUUGUAAUUUAAAAGCCCUUUGUGAAGUACCUUUGGCUAAAAUGGUGUUUGAGGGACAAAGGGCUUUUGUGAAAAAAAAAAUAUCAAAAGAAAAAUAAAAAGAAAAAACAAAAAAAUGAAAACCAGCGAGGGCAGGCGGCAUCCGGCGGCCGGCGGCGACCCUCGGCGACCUCCGG